UGGGGGAUAUUGCACAAUGGAGGAAACUCUGAUGCAGCGAUGCCGCGUGAGGGAAGAAGGUUUUCGGAUUGUAAACCUCUGUGGAGGGGGACGAUAAUGACGGUACCCCUUUAGGAAGCCACGGCUAACUACGUGCCAGCAGCCGCGGUAAUACGUAGGUGGCGAGCGUUGUCCGGAAUUACUGGGUGUAAAGGGAGCGUAGGCGGGAGAGCAAGUCAGAAGUGAAAAUUAUGGGCUUAACCCAUAACCUGCUUUUGAAACUGUUUUUCUUGAGUAAGACAGAGGCAAGCGGAAUUCCUAGUGUAGCGGUGAAAUGCGUAGAUAUUAGGAGGAACACCAGUGGCGAAGGCGGCUUGCUGGGUCUUUACUGACGCUGAGGCUCGAAAGCGUGGGGAGCAAACAGGAUUAGAUACC
rnacentral:rRNA from 1 species